rnacentral:rRNA from 1 species
ACGCUGGCGGCGUGCCUAAUACAUGCAAGUAGAACGCUGAAGGAGGAGCUUGCUUCUCUGGAUGAGUUGCGAACGGGUGAGUAACGCGUAGGUAACCUGCCUGGUAGCGGGGGAUAACUAUUGGAAACGAUAGCUAAUACCGCAUAACAGUAGAUGUUGCAUGACAUUUGCUUAAAAGGUGCAAUUGCAUCACUACCAGAUGGACCUGCGUUGUAUUAGCUAGUUGGUGGGGUAACGGCUCACCAAGGCGACGAUACAUAGCCGACCUGAGAGGGUGAUCGGCCACACUGGGACUGAGACACGGCCCAGACUCCUACGGGAGGCAGCAGUAGGGAAUCUUCGGCAAUGGACGGAAGUCUGACCGAGCAACGCCGCGUGAGUGAAGAAGGUUUUCGGAUCGUAAAGCUCUGUUGUAAGAGAAGGACAGGUGUGAGAGUGGAAAGUUCACACUGUGACGGUAUCUUACCAGAAAGGGACGGCUAACUACGUGCCAGCAGCCGCGGUAAUACGUAGGUCCCGAGCGUUGUCCGGAUUUAUUGGGCGUAAAGCGAGCGCAGGCGGUUAGAUAAGUCUGAAGUUAAAGGCUGUGGCUUAACCAUAGUACGCUUUGGAAACUGUUUAACUUGAGUGCAAGAGGGGAGAGUGGAAUUCCAUGUGUAGCGGUGAAAUGCGUAGAUAUAUGGAGGAACACCGGUGGCGAAAGCGGCUCUCUGGCUUGUAACUGACGCUGAGGCUCGAAAGCGUGGGGAGCAAACAGGAUUAGAUACCCCUGGUAGUCCACGCCGUAAACGAUGAGUGCUAGGUGUUAGACCCUUUCCGGGGUUUAGUGCCGCAGCUAACGCAUUAAGCACUCCGCCUGGGGAGUACGACCGCAAGGUUGAAACUCAAAGGAAUUGACG